ensembl:snoRNA SNORD10 small nucleolar RNA, C/D box 10
GCUCUGUGAUGAACCCCAUGCGUGUCAUCUGAGCCCAGAUUCCCUGUUGUCUCAGCCCUGGUGUGGUGUUCUACUUCCCAGAGCUGUUGUCUGACCCAGUAGGAGUCUGGACAAAGGGAUCUAUCUUUCCAUUCUGAGAGC